AGUGAACGCUGGCGGUAGGCCUAACACAUGCAGGUCGAACGGCAGCACAGUAAGAGCUUGCUCUUACGGGUGGCGAGUGGCGGACGGGUGAGGAAUACAUCUGAAUCUACUUUUUCGUGGGGGAUAACGUAGGGAAACUUACGCUAAUACCGCAUACGACCUACGGGUGAAAGCAGGGGAUCUUCGGACCUUGCGCGAUUGAAUGAGCCGAUGUCGGAUUAGCUAGUUGGCGGGGUAAAGGCCCACCAAGGCGACGAUCCGUAGCUGGUCUGAGAGGAUGAUCAGCCACACUGGAACUGAGACACGGUCCAGACUCCUACGGGAGGCAGCAGUGGGGAAUAUUGGACAAUGGGCGCAAGCCUGAUCCAGCCAUACCGCGUGGGUGAAGAAGGCCUUCGGGUUGUAAAGCCCUUUUGUUGGGAAAGAAAAGCAGCAGGUUAAUACCCCGCUGUUCUGACGGUACCCAAAGAAUAAGCACCGGCUAACUUCGUG
rnacentral:rRNA from 1 species